rnacentral:rRNA from 1 species
GAUGAACGCUGGCGGCGUGCCUAAUACAUGCAAGUCGAGCGAACGGACGAGAAGCUUGCUUCUCUGAUGUUAGCGGCGGACGGGUGAGUAACACGUGGAUAACCUACCUAUAAGACUGGGAUAACUUCGGGAAACCGGAGCUAAUACCGGAUAAUUUUUUGAACCGCAUGGUUCAAAAGUUAAAGACGGUCUUGCUGUCACUUAUAGAUGGAUCCGCGCUGCAUUAGCUAGUUGGUAAGGUAACGGCUUACCAAGGCAACGAUGCAUAGCCGACCUGAGAGGGUGAUCGGCCCCACUGUAACUGAGACACGGUCCAGACUCCUACGGGAGGCAGCAGUAGGGAAUCUUCCGCAAUGGGCGAAAGCCUGACGGAGCAACGCCGCGUGAGUGAUGAAGGUCUUCGGAUCGUAAAACUCUGUUAUUAGGGAAGAACAUAUGUGUAAGUAACUGUGCACAUCUUGACGGUACCUAAUCAGAAAGCCACGGCUAACUACGUG